rnacentral:rRNA from 1 species
GAGUUUGAUCCUGGCUCAGGAUGAACGCUAGCGGCAGGCCUAAUACAUGCAAGUCGAGGGGUAACAGGAAGUGCUUGCACUUCGCUGACGACCGGCGCACGGGUGAGUAUCGCGUAUACAAUCUGCCUCAUACUAGGGAAUAGCCCGAAGAAAUUUGGAUUAAUGCCCUAUAGUAUCUUUUUAAGGCAUCUUAUUAAGAUUAAAGGUUACGGUAUGAGAUGAGUAUGCGUUCUAUUAGCUAGUAGGUGUGGUAACGGCACACCUAGGCUACGAUAGAUAGGGGCCCUGAGAGGGGGAUCCCCCACACUGGUACUGAGACACGGACCAGACUCCUACGGGAGGCAGCAGUAAGGAAUAUUGGUCAAUGGACGAAAGUCUGAACCAGCCAUGCCGCGUGCAGGAUGACUGCCCUAUGGGUUGUAAACUGCUUUUAUAUAGGAAGAAAAACUUUCUCGUGAGAAAGCUUGACGGUACUAUAAGAAUAAGGAUCGGCUAACUCCGUGCCAGCAGCCGCGGUAAUACGGAGGAUCCAAGCGUUAUCCGGAAUCAUUGGGUUUAAAGGGUCCGUAGGUGGACAAAUAAGUCAGAGGUGAAAUCCUGCAGCUCAACUGUAGAACUGCCUUUGAUACUGUUUGUCUUGAGUUAUUAUGAAGUGGUUAGAAUGUGUAGUGUAGCGGUGAAAUGCAUAGAUAUUACACAGAAUACCGAUUGCGAAGGCAGAUCACUAAUAAUUAACUGACACUGAUGGACGAAAGCGUGGGUAGCGAACAGGAUUAGAUACCCUGGUAGUCCACGCCGUAAACGAUGGUCACUAGCUGUUUGGACUUCGGUCUGAGUGGCUAAGCGAAAGUGAUAAGUGACCCACCUGGGGAGUACGUUCGCAAGAAUGAAACUCAAAGGAAUUGACGGGGGCCCGCACAAGCGGUGGAGCAUGUGGUUUAAUUCGAUGCAACGCGAAAAACCUUACCUACUCUUGACAUACUUGGAAGCUUUUGUAAUGAAAGUGUGCCUAUUGGAACCAAGAUACAGGUGCUGCAUGGCUGUCGUCAGCUCGUGUCGUGAGAUGUUCCGUUAAGUCGGAUAACGAGCGCAACCCUUACCCUUAUUUGCCAGCGAUUAGGUCGGGAACUAUAAGGGGACUGCCGGUGAUAAACCGGAGGAAGGUGAGGACGACGUCAAGUCAUCAUGGCCCUUACGAGUAGGGCUACACACGUGCUACAAUGGGGAAUACAGACGGACGCUAAGCCGCGAGGUGGUGCUAAUCCUAGAAAGUUUCUCGUAGUCCGGAUUGGAGUCUGCAACUCGACUCCAUGAAGUCGGAAUCGCUAGUAAUCGCGAAUCAGCAUGUCGCGGUGAAUACGUUCUCGGGUCUUGCACACAC